CCUACGGGCGACAGCAGUGAGGAAUAUUGGUCAAUGGACGAGAGUCUGAACCAGCCAAGUAGCGUGAAGGAUGACUGCCCUAUGGGUUGUAAACUUCUUUUAUAUGGGAAUAAAAUGUUCCACGUGUGGGAUUUUGUAUGUACCAUAUGAAUAAGGAUCGGCUAACUCUGUGCCAGCAGCCGCGGUAAUACGGAGGAUCCGAGCGUUAUCCGGAUUUAUUGGGUUUAAAGGGAGCGUAGGUGGAUUGUUAAGUCAGUUGUGAAAGUUUGCGGCUCAACCGUAAAAUUGCAGUUGAAACUGGCAGUCUUGAGUACAGUAGAGGUGGGCGGAAUUCGUGGUGUAGCGGUGAAAUGCUUAGAUAUCACGAAGAACUCCGAUUGCGAAGGCAGUUCACUGGACUGCAACUGACACUGAGGCUCGAAAGUGUGGGUAUCAAACAGGAUUAGAUACCCGGGUAGUC
rnacentral:rRNA from 1 species